rnacentral:rRNA from 1 species
GAAAAUUCUAAAUAGCUGCAAUUUUUGUACUAAGGUAGCAUAAUCAUUUGUUUAUUAAUUUUAAACUAGAAUGAAAGGUAAAACAAAUUAUCUCUUUAUUUUUUAUUAAAUUAUAACUUAUACUAAAUAUAAAAAUAUAUUUUUUAAAAAAAAAAGACGACAAGACCCUAUUGAACUUUACUUUAGUUUAGCUGGGGAAGCUAAAUAAUAAAUAUUUUAUAAACAAUUUUAUAAACGACCCAAAAUAUUUGAACUUAUAAUCAAGUUACCAUAGGGAUAACAGCGCGAAUAAAUUUUUAAAGCUCUUAUCUAAAAAUUUGCUUACGACUUACGAUGUUGAAAUUAGAAAUCUUUAUUAAGUAAAAAUAAU